GACAGAGGGUGCAAGCGUUGUCCGGAAUUAUUGGGCGUAAAACGUCUGUAGGCGGUUCACUAAGUCUAAAGUCAAAUAGUUGAGCUCAACUCAAUCUUCGCUUUGGAUACUGAUGAACUAGAGUGCGUUAGGGGUUAUUGGAAUUCCCGGUGUAGUGGUGAAAUACGUAGAUAUCGGGAGGAACUCCAGUGGCGAAAGCGAAUAACUGGGGCGUAACUGACGCUGAGAGACGAAAGCGUGGGGAGCAAAAAGG
rnacentral:rRNA from 1 species